UAAAUUAUACAGUACUUCAUACAAAAUAAUCCAGUCAAAAUUAUUUUAAAGGUCACAGCUGUACACAUUCCAUUGCUGUGUUUAAAAUUAUGAGGAUGACAGGCAUAGAAAUGAGCACUGAAGAUAUCCAACAGGAAGGAUAUCUCAUAUGAUCUAUCUCUUCUAGGAAAUUUUGUCUUUUAACAACAGUUUAUGGAAAAUACUUCUUGAAACUUUUCACCAAAGCUUUGCAAAAGUGGUAGUUAAUGAAGCAGGACUCCAAAACCUCCAUUCAGCAGAAUACAACUCCAACUCAUAAUGUUUAAAAAGGUUUUUAAAGUUAUAAUUGAAUUGUUAGCUAAUAUAACUACAUGCAGUAAUGAAAGGAAAAAUGCAGAACGUCCACUGUUGCUUUCAAUGGGCUAGUUAUAUAAGCAUCAUCUACUCUGGUGUUAAAGAUAAAAUCAUUCUUUAUCUCACAAAACUCUUUAAAAGGACAAAAUGCAUUUAAAAAUAGAGAAAUACUAAUGAAAUGAUUAAAAUGGAGAAAUAAUUCAUUAGUAUGUGUAUAGAAUGUGUACAAUCACAUAUUUUAUACACGUGUAUAAGAAUAUAGUCUGUAUGACAAAAUUAAAUUGCUCAAUUUAGCCUUCUAGUUGGUAGAUCCAUUAUAGCUAAAAUAGUUGUCUAUUAGGUCUUUGAAACAAAACAGAAUACAGCAUUUUGGACAAGUAGAACAAAAGGUGAAAAACUGUUCUUUGGUAUUCUUCCUUUCCCUAUAAAAAUGGUUAAAAUCCUCACAUACUGCCCAGCUUCUUUAUGCUGAAGAGUACUAUGGUCUGGAUUUUUCCCAAAGGUAAGAUGCUGUGGCGACAGGCUUAUCCAACCACAUCCUACUCUUCUGGGGCUGCCCUCGGCCAUCUGCUAUGCCCGUAUACGGACUCUCAAUAUUUGUUUAAAUAGCCUGCUCCUGGACAAUUUAAAUGACUUAAAAAAAUUACUGAUUUUAUGUUUUUGUGACUUUUAAUGUAUUUUUAAAAAUGUUAGCUGCCCUGAUCCCAUCUGAGGGGAGGGCGGGGUAUAAAUCAAAUAAAUAAAUAAGUAGUUGGCUUACAUUGAAAGCCCUCCCCCCAUUAAGCAACCCUACAAAUGACAUGCACCCAUGUCCUCAUCUGGAUGUUGUUGCAAAAUAUGGUGGAAGAAGGAACAUGAGCAGCCCAUAACUAAGAAAGAAGCAGCUCACUGUCAGGCUGCUAUAAAGAUAUUAGGAACUACUCUUUGGGUGUGUGAUGUGUGUGGAAGCCUCAGUGCUCAAAAAACCACAUCUUGAGUCCCCACCCCUUAAUGAAACAUAUACGUAUCUAGUGACUGAUACCCUUUUUACACACCAUGCAUCUGUAUGUACUCACCAAAGACUGGAACACAAAAAUUAUUUUAUUGGUGGAAAGCUAGUUGCUUCUCCUUGAAUUAUGUUAUCGCCAGAUGUAUAAAAGCUUCCUAAUUAGCAAUUGCACACUUCUGAGUUUCAAAGCUUUUCAAAACUUAUGCCUUUAUUGGAUACAGCCUUCCUUUUGCUACUUAGUAGAAUAAAAUAUGUAUAUUACUCUUUACAAAUACAGAACCUCUCAUUCAGAGAUCACAAAAGCGCUUCUCAAUUUGCUUGAUUGUUCUGUAACAUUUCCUCCAUUACAAAAAUGCAUGACAAAUUAUUUAUUUUAAUGUAACUAAAACAACAUUACAUUUUCAUUUCAUUCAUGUUAAGUGUCCAAUUUCAUUCUUGUGUUUCUGUUUCCAGAAAGCAGCUCAUUCUGUUUAUUAUGUUGACAGAAGUUGAAGCAAAAGGGAAAACAAGGUUGCACCUACCUGUAACUGUUGUUUAUUGAGUGUUCUAUACAGACACACAUGGAAACUGCACAUGCGCAGUAGCCACAGACAUAUCGAAGCUCCAAAAGGCGCAAGAUGCUCACCCGACCUUUUUGCACGCUUUUUGAGUGGCUGCAGCUAUAAAAGGUGGGGCGAACGGAUCCCUCCCUCAGUUCACUAAUCCUGAAGAAGGAGAAAUUAAAGAGCACAUGGCAGGAAAAGGAGGGAGGGAUGUGUGCCUGCACAGAACAUUCAAUGAACAACAGUUACAGGCGAGUAGAGACCCGGAGAUCCUUCCAUGCCAUAGGCGUAGUAACGGUAGGAAACUCAUAGGGGUAUGGAACCCAUAGGUGCCUGUGACUUCUAAUGAUCUUUUCUGUGCAGGACGCACUGGGGACAGCAGUAACGGAGAUAAAGCCACUCCUAGAUUCAUGAAGUCUGGAAUCUUGCCCUCUAGGAAGACAGGAACCGAAGCAGAACGGCAUCUAGACAUCGACAAAGGUGUUCUUGGAGCUGCAGGGCGGCUGGACACCACCGAGGUGGAUUAAGCCAAGCUGAGGACUGUUUUUUCUUUUGCGGUUUCGGAGUCAGGUGUUUUUCAGUAUGCCUUGACUUCAGCUUGGCUUUCUUUGACAGCAGCUUGGAUGAAGACCAAAAUGGGCUCGAAUCCUUAGGAACUGACUGGUUCAUAUUGUCGGCACUUGGAGCCAAAACGAGAGAAUCGAGGAGGAGCUUGAAGCAUGUCCUUCAGCAGUGGCUAAGGAACUGAGGGAGGGAUCCGCUUGCCCACCUUUUAUAACUUGCACUCACGCUAAAAGGCUGGGUGAGUGUCUUGCACCUUUUGGAGCUUUGAUACGUCCAUGGCUGGCCUGCGCAUGCGCAGUUCCCAUGGGUGCCUG